rnacentral:tRNA from 1 species
UGAGGUUUAGCUCAGGGCUAGAGCACUUACCCAGUAUGCGCAAGGCUCUAGGUUCGAUCCCCAGUACCUCAA